rnacentral:lncRNA from 1 species
ACCUGAGGUCGUCCUCAUAUGGUACAAACGUCCUCGGCAGUUUCAGGACGUCCUCAUUUGGUCCUCUAGUCGACACUUGCAGGAUUAUCCCCAAAAUGCCCCUUUGAGACCUUUUUAAGGACGAAGAAUUGUCCUGAUAUCGUCUGCUCGAGGACGUUUUGAGGAUAUGCAUGUUUCGUAGGUGCAUGCAGCUUUCGCAAUUCGUGUUUGGUUAAUUUUCUGGCUGUUAACGAAUAAGUCCACGGGAUUUCGUAUGCCUACUUUCGAGUCAUAAUAGUAAAGUACUUCUCGAUCAUUAAAAUGAGAUAGUUACACGAGGAAGCACUUCAAGCCAACACGAGAAAGACGUGUUCUUUUAUUUAUUAUUUAUUUAUUUACUUUGUAAGUGAUCGUAGGCCAAACUUUCUGCCUGCACGUUUUCGUUGGUCGUGAUCUACCGCCGACGUGCAUACGGAAUUAUAUCGCACUGACUGUGGUCUGACCCGUUUCCCCAAUGAACGCACGUGCGGCAGACCAAGUUUGGUGCGAGUAUAAACGGUGUCGGCUCCAAAAUGAAUGCAGGCGUGAAAACUGUGAAUAGCGAGCACGUUAUUCUCGAGUGUCCAGUGUUGCAAUGCCGCACGGUCCCAUCGAGCAGACGACAACUGACCAUGCUGACGACUGGGCUGGCCUAGGUUAUCGUGAAUAGAGCAGCAUUGGAACUAGAACGCUGUGGGAAAACGAAUGGGCGACUGAAGUUGUGGUGGUGCUAACAAAAAAAAAGCAGUACCUUAAUGCGGUCACCAUGCGCAGUCAAGGUGCUUUUAAAUCUGGAUGUCUACGACACUGUUUACCCAUUUUAAAGUGACGCAACUAUCAUCAUCAUCAUUAUGGGCCUGCAGUAAGUCAAGUCGAGUCAUUGGUCGAGUCAACAUUCCAAUACAACACUUCUCGCCAUAGAGGAAGCUUCUCGCAGAAGCCCUCAAAGAAUCGUAAGCAUGCCAGAGGCCGUGAGGCGAAAUUUUCCGGAAACAAAAAAAAAUGACAUCGAGUGUGUGAUUAAAGUGUGGCUUCGGCAUGCUGGGGAAAAGCUCCAGAAGCAGCGCUUAAGAACUUCUCGCACUCACCAUGAGGAAUGUCUUCAAAGUGUCGCGUUGUCAAGCCCAUCGGAUGAAGACCUCUGAAGGCACAGGGCAAGAAGUCUCAUCUAGUGAAAACUGCCAAGUUUCAUUCCUGAAAAUAAACAUGUUUUCUGUGCA